rnacentral:piRNA from 1 species
AGCAGACAAGAUAUACGAGGUCGUGAC